AUUGAACGCUGGCGGCAGGCUUAACACAUGCAAGUCGAGCGGGGGAAGGUAGCUUGCUACCGGACCUAGCGGCGGACGGGUGAGUAAUGCUUAGGAAUCUGCCUAUUAGUGGGGGACGACAUCUCGAAAGGGAUGCUAAUACCGCAUACGUCCUACGGGAGAAAGCAGGGGAUCUUCGGACCUUGCGCUAAUAGAUGAGCCUAAGUCGGAUUAGCUAGUUGGUGGGGUAAAGGCCUACCAAGGCGGCGAUCUGUAGCGGGUCUGAGAGGAUGAUCCGCCACACUGGGACUGAGACACGGCCCAGACUCCUACGGGAGGCAGCAGUGGGGAAUAUUGGACAAUGGGGGGAACCCUGAUCCAGCCAUGCCGCGUGUGUGAAGAAGGCCUUAUGGUUGUAAAGCACUUUAAGCGAGGAGGAGGCUACUUUAGUUAAUACCUAGAGAUAGUGGACGUUACUCGCAGAAUAAGCACCGGCUAACUCUGUGCCAGCAGCCGCCGUAA
rnacentral:rRNA from 1 species